rnacentral:misc_RNA from 1 species
UCCGAGUUGACCCCGGCAGUCUCCUGCGAGUCCCCGCCAUUACGCGCUGGCAACAUGGGACAGGGGUUGCGCUCGUUGCGCCACUUAAGGCAACACCUCACGGCACGAGCUGACGACAGCCAUGCAGCACCUGUGCGGGCCCCCGAAGAGGCGCCGUGUUUCCACGGUUUCACCCCGCAUGUCAAGCCCAGGUAAGGUUCUUCGCGUUGCGUCGAAUUAAGCCACAUGCUCCGCUGCUUGUGCGGGCCCCCGUCAAUUCUUUUGAGUUUUAGCCUUGCGGCCGUACUCCCCAGGCGGGACACUUAACGCGUUAACUGCGGCACAGAGGGAUUCGACUCCCCCCACACCUAGUGUCCAUCGUUUACGGCUAGGACUAC